CCUACGGGAGGCAGCAGUAGGGAAUAUUGCUCAAUGGGGGAAACCCUGAAGCAGCAACGCCGCGUGGAGGAUGAAGGUUUUCGGAUUGUAAACUCCUUUUGUUAGAGAAGAUAAUGACGGUAUCUAACGAAUAAGCACCGGCUAACUCCGUGCCAGCAGCCGCGGUAAUACGGAGGGUGCAAGCGUUACUCGGAAUCACUGGGCGUAAAGAGGGCGUAGGCGGGAUAGCAAGUCAGAUGUGAAAUCCUAUGGCUUAACCAUAGAACUGCAUUUGAAGCUGUUAUUCUAGAGUAUGGGAGAGGUAGGUGGAAUUCUUGGUGUAGGGGUAAAAUCCGUAGAGAUCAAGAGGAAUACUCAUUGCGAAGGCGACCUGCUAGAACAUAACUGACGCUGAUGCGCGAAAGCGUGGGGAGCAAACAGGAUUAGAUACCCUUGUAGUC
rnacentral:rRNA from 1 species